rnacentral:rRNA from 1 species
GACGAACGCUGGCGGCGUGCUUAACACAUGCAAGUCGAACGGAAAGGCCCAGCUUGCUGGGUGCUCGAGUGGCGAACGGGUGAGUAACACGUGGGUGAUCUGCCCCUAACUUCGGGAUAAGCUUGGGAAACUGGGUCUAAUACCGGAUAGGACAAUCGUUUAGUGUCGGUUGUGGAAAGUUUUUUCGGUUAGGGAUGAGCCCGCGGCCUAUCAGCUUGUUGGUGGGGUAAUGGCCUACCAAGGCGUCGACGGGUAGCCGGCCUGAGAGGGUGGACGGCCACAUUGGGACUGAGAUACGGCCCAGACUCCUACGGGAGGCAGCAGUGGGGAAUAUUGCACAAUGGGCGCAAGCCUGAUGCAGCGACGCCGCGUGGGGGAUGACGGCCUUCGGGUAGUAAACCUCUUUCGACAGGGACGAAGCUUUGGUGACGGUACCUGUAGAAGAAGCACCGGCUAACUACGUG